rnacentral:snoRNA from 1 species
CCUGCCCCUAGAGGUGUGGCAGGUGUGGCUGCUCUGUCACAGGAGCAUCAGUAGGUGGCAGAGACAAGAGACUAUGUCUGAGUUUGGUGUUCUGACCUAUGAACACUUGAAUGAUUAGUAGCCUAACACU